rnacentral:rRNA from 1 species
AACGAACGCUGGCGGCAUGCCUAACACAUGCAAGUCGAACGAGACCUUCGGGUCUAGUGGCGCACGGGUGCGUCACGCGUGGGAACCUGCCCUUAGGUUCGGACUAACUCCCCGAAAGGGGUGCUAAUACCGGAUCAUGUCUUCUGACCAAAGAUUUAUCGCCUUUGGAUGGGCCCGCGUUGGAUUAGCUAGUUGGUAGGGUAAAAGCCUACCAAGGCGCCGAUCCAUAGCUGGUCUGAGAGGAUGAUCAGCCACACUGGGACUGAGACACGGCCCAGACUCCUACGGGAGGCAGCAGUGGGGAAUAGUGGACAAUGGGCGAAAGCCUGAUCCAGUAAUGCCGCGUGAGUGAUGAAGGCCUUAGGGUUGUAAAGCGCUUUUACCCGGGAUGAUAAUGACAGUACCGGGAGAAUAAGCUCCGGCUAACUCCGUG